rnacentral:tRNA from 2 species
GGGCACGUGGCCUAGCCCGGAUAUGGCGGCAGCCUCCUAAGCUGUAGGUCGAGGGUUCAAUUCCCUCCGUGCCCG